GCCGUGUAAUACCUCCUCGAGGCAGAAAAAUUCUACUUUCCAUCUGCUUGGCUGCGGAGGACCUUGGGGUGGGCUCAGCGUGGGGGCUGCAGGCAGAAAUGGGUCCAGAAGGCAAGGUCGAGGUUAGAGCCAAGCCUGUGGGCAGGGCUACGGGCAGGGGGCGGGGAGGAAUGUGGGUCCAGGCCCAGAGGAAAAGGUUGAAGUUAUAGCCAGGCCUGUGGGCGAGGCCGCAGCAGGGCGGCCAUAGGGGAAGGAGCCAAUGUGUUAUGCAUGUAGAAAAUAGGUAACUACGUCUUUUGCUCUGUUACUAUUUCAACAUUUGAUGUAAAAAACAUUUUCUAUGCAGCUAAAAGAAUUGUUUUUAAAAAUAAUUUCUAGGUUUUCUGCCUUGCUUUAAAACAUCUUUUCUUUUUUUUUGAGACAAAAUCUCACUCUGUCACCAAGGCUGGAGUUCAGUGGAGCCAUCUCAGCUCACUGCAACCUCCACCUCCCAGGUUCAAGCGAUUCUCCUGCCUCAUCCUCCCAAGUAGCUGGAAUUACAGGUGCAUGCUGCCACACCCUGCUAAUUUUUGUAUUUUUAGUAGAGGCAGGGUUUUGCCAUGCUGGCCAGGCUGGUCUUGAACUACUUGUCAGGCCUCUGAGCCCAAGUUAAAUCAUCAUAAACCCUGUCACCUGCACGUAUACAUCCAGAUGGCCUGGAGCAACUGAAGAACCACAAAAGAAGUGAAACAGCCAGUUCCUGCCUUAACUGAUGACGUUCCACCAUUGUGAUUUGUUGCUGCCCCACCCCAACUGAUCUCUUGACCUUGUGACAUUCUUCUUCUGGACGAGUCUCAGGAGUUCCCCACCGAGCACCUUGUGACCCCCGGCCCUGCCAGCAAAAGAUAAC
rnacentral:lncRNA from 10 species